AAAAGGCCAGCCUAGAGUCAAAGGGUAGGGAAACAGAUCCCAUCUUCUGACAGGAGGAAAAGAUAGGAUAUAUAAGAAGAAGAGAUUUGAGUCCCUGAAUCUACAGUAUCAGAUGUACAAUUUUGAAAUUAAAGCAGGCAGAAUUGUUGCCACUCUGGGAACUCAUGAGCACAAGUCCAUCUGUGAUCAACUCAACUCAGUUCCAAGUUCUACUGGAUUUGGGG